GACGAACGCUGGCGGCGUGCUUAACACAUGCAAGUCGAACGAAGUGGCGAACGGGUGAGUAACGCGUAAUCAACCUGCCCUUCAGAGGGGGACAACAGUUGGAAACGACUGCUAAUACCGCAUACUGAAGGAGGGGAUUGCGUCUGAUUAGCUAGUUGGAGGGGUAACGCCCCACCAAGGCGAUGAGCGGUAGCCGGUCUGAGAGGAUGGACGUCCAGAUUGGGACUGAGUCACGGCCCAGACUCCUACGGGAGGCAGCAGUGGGCAAUCUUCCGCAAUGGACGAAAGUCUGACGGAGCAACGCCGCGUGAGUGAUGACGGCCUUCGGGUUGUAAGGCUCUGUUAAUCGGGACGCGGUACCGGAAUAGAAAGCCGCGGCUAACUACGUGCCAGCAGCCGCGGUAAUAC
rnacentral:rRNA from 1 species